GACGAACGCUGGCGGCGUGCUUAACACAUGCAAGUCGAACGGAAAGGCCCUGCUUUUGUGGGGUGCUCGAGUGGCGACCGGGUGAGUAACACGUGAGUAACCUGCCCUUGACUUUGGGAUAACUUCAGGAAACUGGGGCUAAUACCGGAUAGGAGCUCCUGCUGCAUGGUGGGGGUUGGAAAGUUUCGGCGGUUGGGGAUGGACUCGCGGCUUAUCAGCUUGUUGGUGGGGUAGUGGCUUACCAAGGCUUUGACGGGUAGCCGGCCUGAGAGGGUGACCGGCCACAGUGGGACUGAGAUACGGCCCAGACUCCUACGGGAGGCAGCAGUGGGGAAUAUUGCACAAUGGGCGGAAGCCUGAUGCAGCAACGCCGCGUGCGGGAUGACGGCCUUCGGGUUGUAAACCGCUUUCGCCUGUGACGAAGCGUGAGUGACGGUAAUGGGUAAAGAAGCACCGGCUAACUACGUG
rnacentral:rRNA from 1 species